AACAUCUCAAAUCUCUUGGCGCUUGCGCUCAAAGGGAAUUGGAUUUGAGCGAUCCCGACUCCUUCGUCCGCGAAAGAGGAGGGCCGCUUAAAAUGCAGGUGCAGCUGGACAUUCUUCUGAGCUAAAAGCAUAUUUAUUUAGUCCCGUCAAACGGAUUAUUACUUUUGCUUCAGCUAAUAUAAAGGUCGAAUGGACAAACCAAAGCUGAUUGCAGGAAAACUCGUUCUUAACUGAACUUGUGA
rnacentral:misc_RNA from 1 species